AUUUCUCAACCUCAAUGAUUUGAUUAUCAUCGAGGCUUGGAUCAUGGAGGAUUUUGCUGGAUUUACAAAAGUCGGCUCCUCUGAAAUGCAUCAGUGAACCUAGUUGCCCUCGUUUUGCUUGUUGGCUUUGGUUUGAUAAUUGUCUAUGCCAUCGCUGUCUGCAAGUGAACAAAGUCGAAGGCUUCCUUGGUUUGCUACAAACCCUAACCUUAUGACG
rnacentral:misc_RNA from 1 species